AUGUCGUCUGAGUACUAUAUAAUAGUUAAAACUUUCAACAAACGGAUCUCUUGGUUCUGGCAUCGAUGAAGAACGCAGCGAAAUGCGAUAAGUAAUGUGAAUUGCAGUAUUCAGUGAAUCAUCGAAUCUUUGAACGCACAUUGCGCCCCUUGGUAUUCAC
rnacentral:rRNA from 1 species